rnacentral:rRNA from 1 species
UACGAAGGGGGCUAGCGUUGCUCGGAAUCACUGGGCGUAAAGGGCGCGUAGGCGGCUUUAUAAGUCGGGGGUGAAAGCCUGUGGCUCAACCACAGAAUUGCCUUCGAUACUGUAGAGCUUGAGACCGGAAGAGGUAAGUGGAACUGCGAGUGUAGAGGUGAAAUUCGUAGAUAUUCGCAAGAACACCAGUGGCGAAGGCGGCUACUGGUCCGGUACUGACGCUGAGGUGCGAAAGCGUGGGGAGCAAACAGG